GUAUAUAGUUUAUAAGACAAUGAAGUCUAAUAAUGACAUUCUGUUACAUUCUUAUGGUGUAUAUGAAAAACAUAGGCCUGGAAACUUACAAGGAAAGCUGUGAAGCAAUUCCUCACGACCGAGUUGCCUCGGAAUGUUGAAUCCAGGUCUACAAAAGGUGCACAGGUGGAGAUAUAAAGAUGACAAGGUGUGCACAUGCCUUCGAAAAGACCAGCAGCAACCAAGUCAAGUUCAUUCAAUAAUGAUCCUUCCGCAGGUUCACCUACGGAAACCUUGUUACGACUUUUACUUCCUCUAAAUGACCAAGA
rnacentral:misc_RNA from 1 species